AUUGAACGCUGGCGGCAUGCCUUACACAUGCAAGUCGAACGGUAACAGGUCUUCGGAUGCUGACGAGUGGCGAACGGGUGAGUAAUACAUCGGAACGUGCCUAGUAGUGGGGGAUAACUACUCGAAAGAGUGGCUAAUACCGCAUGAGAUCUACGGAUGAAAGCAGGGGAUCGCAAGACCUUGUGCUACUAGAGCGGCCGAUGGCAGAUUAGGUAGUUGGUGGGAUAAAAGCUUACCAAGCCGACGAUCUGUAGCUGGUCUGAGAGGACGAGCAGCCACACCGGGACUGAGACACGGCCCAGACUCCUACGGGAGGCAGCAGUGGGGAAUUUUGGACAAUGGGCGCAAGCCUGAUCCAGCAAUGCCGCGUGCAGGAUGAAGGCCUUCGGGUUGUAAACUGCUUUUGUACGGAACGAAAAGCCCUGGGUUAAUACCCUGGGGUCAUGACGGUACCGUAAGAAUAAGCACCGGCUAACUACGUGCCAGCCGCCGCUGUAA
rnacentral:rRNA from 1 species